UAACGCGUGGGAAUCUGCCCUCAGGUUCGGAAUAACGACGGGAAACUGUCGCUAAUACCGAAUAAGCCCUUCGGGGGAAAGAUUUAUCGCUGAUAGAUGAGCCCGCGUACGAUUAGCUAGUUGGUGAGGUAAUGGCUCACCAAGGCUACGAUCGUUAGCUGGUCUGAGAGGAUGAUCAGCCACACUGGGACUGAGACACGGCCCAGACUCCUACGGGAGGCAGCAGUGGGGAAUAUUGGACAAUGGGCGAAAGCCUGAUCCAGCAAUGCCGCGUGAGUGAUGAAGGCCUUAGGGUUGU
rnacentral:rRNA from 1 species